AGCGGCGGACGGGUGAGUAACACGUGGGUAACCUGCCUCAAAGUGGGGGAUAGCCUUCCGAAAGGAAGAUUAAUACCGCAUAAUAUGAGAGAAUCGCAUGAUUUUCUUAUCAAAGAUUUAUUGCUUUGAGAUGGACCCGCGGCGCAUUAGCUAGUUGGUAAGGUAACGGCUUACCAAGGCAACGAUGCGUAGCCGACCUGAGAGGGUGAUCGGCCACAUUGGAACUGAGACACGGUCCAGACUCCUACGGGAGGCAGCAGUGGGGAAUAUUGCGCAAUGGGGGAAACCCUGACGCAGCAACGCCGCGUGGGUGAUGAAGGUCUUCGGAUUGUAAAGCCCUGUUUUCUAGGACGAUAAUGACGGUACUAGAGGAGGAAGCCACGGCUAACUACGUGCCAGCAGCCGCGGUAAUACGUAGGUGGCGAGCGUUGUCCGGAUUUACUGGGCGUAAAGGGUGCGUAGGCGGAUGUUUAAGUGGGAUGUGAAAUCCCCGGGCUUAACCUGGGGGCUGCAUUCCAAACUGGAUAUCUAGAGUGCAGGAGAGGAAAGCGGAAUUCCUAGUGUAGCGGUGAAAUGCGUAGAGAUUAGGAAGAACACCAGUGGCGAAGGCGGCUUUCUGGACUGUAACUGACGCUGAGGCACGAAAGCGUGGGUAGCAAACAGGAUUAGAUACCCUGGUAGUCCACGCCGUAAACGAUGGAUACUAGGUGUAGGGGGUAUCAACUCCCCCUGUGCCGCAGUUAACACAAUAAGUAUCCCGCCUGGGGAGUACGGUCGCAAGAUUAAAACUCAAAGGAAUUGACGGGGGCCCGCACAAGCAGCGGAGCAUGUGGUUUAAUUCGAAGCAACGCGAAGAACCUUACCUGGACUUGACAUCCCUUGCAUAGCCUAGAGAUAGGUGAAGCCCUUCGGGGCAAGGAGACAGGUGGUGCAUGGUUGUCGUCAGCUCGUGUCGUGAGAUGUUAGGUUAAGUCCUGCAACGAGCGCAACCCUUGUUAUUAGUUGCUACCAUUAAGUUGAGCACUCUAAUGAGACUGCCUGGGUAACCAGGAGGAAGGUGGGGAUGACGUCAAAUCAUCAUGCCCCUUAUGUCCAGGGCUACACACGUGCUACAAUGGUAGGUACAAUAAGACGCAAGACCGUGAGGUGGAGCAAAACUUAUAAAACCUAUCUCAGUUCGGAUUGUAGGCUGCAACUCGCCUACAUGAAGCUGGAGUUGCUAGUAAUCGCGAAUCAGAAUGUCGCGGUGAAUACGUUCCCGGGCCUUGUACACACCGCCCGUCACACCAUGAGAGCUGGUAACACCCGAAGUC
rnacentral:rRNA from 1 species